GACGAACGCUGGCGGCGUGCCUAACACAUGCAAGUCGAACGGGGUAAAGAGCUUCGGAUUUUUACUUAGUGGCGAACGGGUGAGUAACGCGUGAGAAACCUGCCUUUCAGUGGGGGACAACAGUUGGAAACGACUGCUAAUACCGCAUAAUGUUAUCGAGCGGCAUCGCUUGAUAACCAAAGCUUUAUGUGCUGAAAGAUGGUCUCGCGUCUGAUUCGCUAGAUGGCGGGGUAACGGCCCACCAUGGCGACGCUCAGUAGCCGGUCUGAGAGGAUGAACGGCCACAUUGGGACUGAGAUACGGCCCAGACUCCUACGGGAGGCAGCAGUGGGGAAUAUUGGGCAAUGGGGGAAACCCUGACCCAGCAACGCCGCGUGAAGGAAGAAGGCCUUCGGGUUGUAAACUUCUUUUAGCAGGGACGAAGAACGUGACGGUACCUGCAGAAAAAGCAACGGCUAACUACGUGCCAGCCGCCGCUGUAAAAC
rnacentral:rRNA from 1 species